UUGAAAUGAUGUGCAUUCCUUCACUGAAUUAAACCUUGAAGUGCAAAUAUGAGCUUUUUUACCUGAGCAGU